UACGACCACAUCACGUUGAAAAACCGGUAAGAUCACCGAAUUUAAGCAGUGUCGAGCUGAGUCAGUACCCAGAUGGGUGACCGCUUGAGAAUACCAGGUGCUGUAA